rnacentral:miRNA from 1 species
CACCUUUGUGUCCCCAUCCUGCA